rnacentral:tRNA from 1 species
UCCCUGGUGGUCCAGUGGUUAGGACUCUGCGCUUUCACUGCUGUGGGCACAAGCUCAAUCCCUGGUUGGGGAA